AGGACGAACGCUGGCGGCGUGCUUAACACAUGCAAGUCGAACGGUAAGGCCCCUUCGGGGGUACACGAGUGGCGAACGGGUGAGUAACACGUGAGCAACCUGCCCUUGACUUCGGAAUACCAGUUGGAAACAGCUGCUAAUACCGGAUAUGACCUCUUCCUUCCUGGGUUGAGGUGGAAAGCUCCGGCGGUCAAGGAUGGGCUCGCGGCCUAUCAGCUUGUUGGUGAGGUAAUGGCUCACCAAGGCUUCGACGGGUAGCCGGCCUGAGAGGGCGACCGGCCACACUGGGACUGAGAUACGGCCCAGACUCCUACGGGAGGCAGCAGUGGGGAAUAUUGCACAAUGGGCGCAAGCCUGAUGCAGCAACGCCGCGUGCGGGAUGACGGCCUUCGGGUUGUAAACCGCUUUCAGUAGGGACGAAGCUAACGUGACGGUACCUACAGAAGAAGGACCGGCUAACUACGUGCCAGCAGCCGC
rnacentral:rRNA from 1 species